rnacentral:rRNA from 1 species
UUAAUUUUGGUUCAGAUUGAACGUUGUUCAGUAGUAUAAGACAUGCGAAUCGUUGUUUCCGAAAAUUAUUGUCAAAAGUAAUAUCUAGGGAACAAGGUGUAGAGGUGAGGAAAGUAAAUAAGAUACCCUUUAGUCUCCAUAAAUAGGAGAUAUUUUUAAUCAAUCGGUUAAAAAAAUAACAAAGCUAUUUUUAUUCAGAAAGGAAAUUUUCUGCUAAAGGAUUCUAUUUAUUUCGAUUAGGUAGUUGGUAGGGUAAAGGCCUACCAAGCCGACGAUCGAUAGCUAUGCUUGAAAGAGCCGAUAGCCACAUUGGGAGUGAGAUGCCCCAAGUAGUACUAACCCCGAAUUAAAUUAUUAAUUCAAUCACUACCAGCAGUCAAGAAUAUUAGUCAAUGCUCGCAAGAGUGAACUAGCUAACUGAAAUCACAAGUACACGGUAUGUGUCACUUGAGAUAACGUAAGGGAUAAUAAUGAUAUUACCUUACUAUUAGUGUCGUCCAAAACUGGUGCCAGAAGACUCGGUAAGGCCAGAGACGCAAACGUUAGUCUUAUUAACCAGGCGUAAAGGGUAUGUAGGCAGCUUUCAAAAUUUUAUUUUAAUAUAGCCAUAGUAAAAUAAGACCAAUAAAAGCUAGAAUCAAAUUGAGGUUAAGCCAAAUAAUACUUAGAGUAGGGGCGACAUCCGUAGAAACUAAGUAGAAUACUAAGAGCGUAAGCUUUUUAACCAUUACUGAUUGACGCUGAGAAACGAAAGUGAGGAUAGGAAGUAGGAUUAGAUACCCAGGUACCCCUCUCUGUAAACGAUGAAUGGUAAUUAUUCAUUAAAAAAAUGAGUGAUGAUGUUAACACGUUAACCAUUCCGCCUUGUGAGUACGAUUGCAAAGUUGAAAACAAAAAAAUUAGUCGGUCCUGAAGAAAACGAAGUGAAGCAUGUUAUUUAAUACGAUAACCCGCGUAAAAUCUUACCAGUUCUUGUAUACAAACUUCUAUACUUUAUUGGAUAGAAGGAGUGUUUUUCUGGUUAAUUAUAGAAAAAUACUUAGUUACAGGUGUUGCAUGGCUGUCGUCAGUCCGUAAUGUGAGUAGUUAGGUUAGAUCCACAAACGGACGAAAUCCCUGUUAUUAAUUUAUACUUAAUGACUAAUGGUAUCUGAUAAAGGUUCCAAUUGGGGCUAAGACAAGUCGUUAUGGCCCUCAUGAACUGGGCUAUAGACGUGCCACAAUAACUUUUACAAAGUGAUGCAAAACCCUCCCAAGUUUACUCUUUUGUUUUAUUAGAGUAAAAUUUUUUACUUUACUUUAGUUUAGUAAGAAUAGGGAAAUAAGGAAGAGCUAAUCAUUAAAGAAAGUUAAAUUAUAAUUCAAUCAGCCGGAUUGUCACCUGAAAUUCGGUGGCAUGAAGAAGGAAUUUCGAGUAAUCGUUGAUCACUAGCGCAACGGUGAAGCAAGUCUUCGGGAUGAACUAACUGUCUGUCGCUGGGAAGAAGCUCGGAUAGGAGGAAACUGGAUGAAAAUACAAAUUUUUUCAUAGUUCAGUUUAUAGCUAUUUAUAGUCAAUUAAUUCAAAAACAACUAUGUUAAAUCUAUUGAGUUUAGUUAAUUCAUUUGGGUAACAUCUCAAAAGUCAUAGCA